AACGCGAAGAACCUUACCUACCCUUGACAUGUCAGGAAUCCCGAAGAGAUUUGGGAGUGCCGCAAGGAACCUGAACACAGGUGCUGCAUGGCUGUCGUCAGCUCGUGUCGUGAGAUGUUGAGUUAAGUCCCGCAGCGAGCGCAACCCUUGUCAUUAGUUGCCAUCAUUUAGUUGGGCACUCUAAUGAGACUGCCGGUGGCAAACCGGAGGAAGGUGGGGAUGACGUCAAGUCCUCAUGGCCCUUAUGGGUAGGGCUUCACACGUCAUACAAUGGUCGGUACAGAGGGUUGCCAACCCGCGAGGGGGAGCCAAUCCCAGAAAGCCGAUCGUAGUCCGGAUCGUAGUCUGCAACUCGACUACGUGAAGUCGGAAUCGCUAGUAAUCGCAGAUCAGCAACGCUGCGGUGAAUACGUUCCCGGGUCUUGUACACACCG
rnacentral:rRNA from 1 species